AUUGGAAGGUCAAUCUUAAAUGCUGUAUAGGAGGAUCUCAUUGAGAAGAUAUCAUUUGAGCAAAGAUGUAAAGCAAGGGAGGGAAUGAGUCAGUGGCUACAUAGGGAGAGUGUCCUAGGCAGAGGAAACAGCUUCUACAAAAGCCCUGAAGCAAGAGAAUGUUUGAAGUGUUCAAGAAUAAACAGGAGAUGCAGAAUGAAUGGAAUUGAGAGUGAGUGAGGCAGUCGGAUACAAGAGAGACUAAUAUGGGGCAGCACUGAAGACUGCUGACAGCAGCCACAUGAGUGAGCUCAGAGUGGACACAACAGCCCCUUCAGAGGCUGCAGGGAUGGCAGACAGCCUGACUGCAAUGUCGUGAAAGAUGCUGAGGCAGAACCAUGCAGCAAAGUCAUUCCCAGAUUCCUGACUCUCAGAAAAUGUGUGAGAUAAUAAAUGCUAUUAUUUUAAGCUGCUAAA